AGGUAAAGAUGUUUUUGAACUACCAUAUGUGAAAAGAUCGAUAACUUUUUCACGAAAGAUAUUUCCUACAGUAGCAUAUGGAUAUGCAGUUACUCCAUCGUACACACCUGGCCAUAUUGGAUUUCUUCUAUGUAGCACGAAUCCAGUAAGUAACAAUAUACCAGCAAACAUAUAAACAUCUUAUUCAUUGAAGCUGCUUCAAAAAUAUCGAACGAUAUCAGUUGCUAGCGAUCCUUCACAUGAAUAUUUGAAGAAAAUUUUGAUUUAGAAGGUUCGUGUUGCUUUCUUUUUUUAUUUAAUUUUUCUUGUUGUCCUGUUUUAUUUAUGUAUAUAGUUAUCAAAGGUACCAGGAUUAUAAUUUAGUACGCCAGACGCGCGUUUCGUCUACAUAAGACUCAUCAGUGACGCUCAUAUCAAAAAAAUUUAUAAAGCCAAACAAGUACAAAGCAUUAAGGAUCCAAUAUUCAAAAAAGUUGUGCCAAAUAUCUGUGUUGUUUGUAUAGUCUUAUUAAUCCUCUGUCCUGUUUUCGUUUCAAUAUGGCACAUUUGUGGUCAAGUUGGAGAAUGUUCUUGUGUUGUACUUGUGUUGCUCAAUUUUAUGAUUUAUGUGUAGUGUUUUUUGAAAACUGGUUGAUUUCGUCUUCAAACAGUCUUAUGUUCUCGAGCAGCACAUCCAAUGUCACAAAUGUUUUGACUGGUAUUUGAUGUAUUGAUGAUUUUUUGCUUUCUGUAUUUGUCACACUUCGUGUGUGGUUUAAUUUACACCAGCUUUUGGUUAUUUUACCUAUUAGCACUACUUUUGCAUUUAUCAUUUGCCUUCUCAACUAUCAAAAUCGAAUGAAGUUUUGCGUACUUUCAUCUAAUUGGUACUUUGGUACUUGUUCUGUCUGUCAUUCAAAGAUAUCUAUAUAUAUUUACGUUACAAUUGUUUAUUUGACAGAAUACCAGUUUUCGGGAGCCUUUAAAGACCUUAACAGAAAAUGAGAUAAAAGAGCGGAAGUUAAAGUAUUACAGCAGUGAUAUUCACCGAGCGUGUUUCAUUCUUCCGAACUAUAUAAAGGAGGUGUGUAUUGAUUUUUAUCCUACAUACGCGCCGCACGUGAAAUAAUCCAUACAUAGAUUAGCACAGUUGCUAUAAGUGAAAUAUCAUCGUUUAAGGUGGUACCCAACACUUUCACUAAAAUUAAUUUGGCUCGUUUAAUUUUUAUAAAAUUUUGAUAAAGUACUUACUUUGACCCUUUAACAAAUAUAUCAUUGUUCAUUGUAAUACAUUUAACAUCCCUGGCUUCCAAAUAUGUGACUUUGAUCGAUCCUGAUGAAGGUAAAUCCAGAAAAGAGCCUUGGAAGCAUUCAAUUUUUAACGUUUUGUUUUCAUAUAAGUUCGUCCAUUUAAACUUACUUCGUUUUUCCGCAAUUCCUAUCUUGUUCUUCUUUACAGCUUUUUAAAAACAAAACGUUCCUUUUGUCCGUUCUUUUUUUAGCUAUUAAAAUCUUUUAUACUAGUCAAUUAGACAACUCAACGACAAAAGUAAUCAAGCUCUGAAUAGAUCAGAAUCUUUAAUAUUUAAAUCAUUUUUAACAGAAGAUAUGCCAUAAAAGCCCAAUUAUGAAAAUUAUGAAAAAAUCAUCAGUUCCCAGUUUCGAAGUUGCGUUAAAUGGGUCUUUUACUUCCACAAUAUUAUAUUAUAAGCUUUAAACGAUAACGUUUUAUACGGCAGUCUGAUUUAUGUAGCAAAUUUGAGGCUUAUUUUUUGCAUGACAUGGUUAGAUAUAUCUACACUUUUAUCAAAUUUGGCAUCUCCUACCUCUAGUUUAUUAUCCGAAUUCAGUAUCAAGUCAAAGAAUGUAAAAAGGUAUAAUCACCAUUCUAGCAUUGCUUAGGUUUCGGAGCAUCGAUUGCUAAACCAAACAGUAAUUGUUUCUGCUUUUCAAGCUGUCGUUCUGUACGUCUAUCAUGUCUAUUGUGAACUGACGCGACUCUUUAUGGGGGGAGGGGGGGCAUAUUUAUUUUCAGUGAGAGCAUUCGCUUCCUCUGAUGUUUUUUUCAAAUUCCUGUCAUAAAUGGUUCCAAUUAAAUAUGUUUAUAGGUCUCCUCAGACUUAUUCCAAAAUUGCUAAUGAUGUAACCAUCCAUGUCGAUAUCAAUUAACAUGUUCAUCUUGUUAUUCGAUGGUGUUUUUCAACAGAAUUAUUAUAGGAUUAAACACAUUUUUUUCUAGAGGUUAUUGAUGUGUAAACCGGGGCGAUUAACUCACAAACUGAAUAAAAGUCCGAAGACUUUUAUGUAAAGUUUGUGAGUAAGAGCCCCGGUUUACACAUCAAUAACCUCUAGAAAAAAUGUGUUUAAUCCUUAUAAUUCUGAAGCCAAAUUGUCUCAAUUUUUAUUAACAUUUGCUGUGUAAAGGUUAGUAUAAUCGCCAUCACAUGCACAACUGACAGGUCGUUACUAAAGGAGUUGGCCGCCAUAUUGACUUUCUAAUGUUCAUAAAUGUUCGAUAAAUGCAACGGAGUUUAAAAUAAAAUAACACCUACCUCUAAAACUUCAUUUUAAUGAGAUAUUAUCAGAAUUUGAAGCGCACACGUAACGAAAUAAUCUUUCCCCUAGAAUUUUUCAUUCGUAUGACGUCGUGUUUUGCCAUGACGUAAAUUCGCCAAAUUUGUUCAUGGAAUUUCGCGGAAUUUAUUUAAAUUUUAUUUUUAUACAUUUUCGAAGCUAGUGGAUUUAUUUAUUUUAUUCAUUUUUUUUUGUUUUAUACGCAUUAGAAUAGAAACAACUAUUAUGCAUUUGUUUUUUAAUCUCAAUUUGCUGAAAAUCAAAGUAUCCCUGCAAGGAUGUGUAUCGCGCAUGAAUAGAUUACGAAAGUAGUUUCGGAAACAUGGUUUAUCGAAGUGUUAACCAAGAGAAAAAUUCGAAUUGACCAAUGCAAUUCAAGUAUUCAUAGAUAUGCAAAUCAUAUAAGAAUUAUUACAUCUUAUCUUGUUUAGUCAAAUACUUACUCAACACAAGAUUGAAAACACAAACUGCUUGGCCAAUGCUUGAACUAUCUAGGCUACAAGCGGUACCAUGUUAUUUUUGUAUCAAAAUUUGAUAAUUAAUUUAUCAAACCAUUUAUAUAACUUUUCAUCGGUAGUUUGAUGUACAGAAAACAAAAAAGGUUACUGAUUUCGUUUCUUCCUUAAAGUCAUAAGAAACGAGUGACUGGUGAAAAAUAAUGUUUAUCCAAUUCUUGAACCAAUGCAUGUAUAUAUCAUAAACUUAGUCCUCUGUGCACGAUUUUAUCAUUUUUACGCAAAUAUAUCGUAUAAUCGUCAAUUUUUUUUCUCUCUGUCUGUUAUGAUUUAACAAAUAUGGCUACUCAUUAAAUGCCGUGUUUUGAAGCUGAAGUUUACCGAUUGUCCCCUUAUAGUAAAUAAUCAACAAAAAGCAUUGGUAUUUAGCACGUGUUUAACAUAUACAAUCAGGUAAUUGUUUAUUUUAAUGACAAAUAUCAUACGUAUUGCUAUCGCCGGAUUUGUACGAGGAGGGUCACGCUUAGGUCAAUAUGCAUACGGAAAAUAUGUCGGCGAAUUGCUUCCUGGAAGCAAGCAAUUAAAAAAUAGUAAACUUCUUCUAAAUGUGGACAAAUUAAAGAAUUUUCCUCCGAAAAAAGUAUAUGUACAUAAGUUGUAUAAUGAAAACUAUCCAUUUAAUUUAAAAAAACAAAUGCAUAUUUGUUUUUUAAUUUGAGGUUUCAUAUGACUUUAAUAAUAUACGGUUCAGAUGAGAUUAGAACACUGGCAUCCAUUUUCUGUAACAAUAUUUAUCAUGAAGUGACUACAAUUUAAUCUGUUGUCUUUUAGAGUUUGGUAGUAAUUUUGACUAAAAGAGAAAACAAGGCAUUCCAUGUAUCCUCCACCUACUAUAAAUUACUUAUCAAUUAACUAUUGGUCUUCCUCAUAGCAGAUGCAGUAUAACCAAACUUUCCUACAUGUUCUGAUUCGAACAACCAUGCAUAUACUGCAAACCCAACUUUGUCUACUAUCUUCUUAAAUCGUUUAAAGAUGGGUAUUAAUAUUGUUCCAUGCAGUGUUUUAGCGUACAUGAUAACCUUCUCGUGAUAUAUUUGUCGGUUUUACAAGUUUAAAGUUUACUUACAAGCUAGUUAAAAUCGAAUAACUAUGCUAAACUUAUUAUACGUACCAAUUUCUUUGAUAAGUUUUUGAUUUUGUCAAAAUGAUUUGGGUUCUAUCAUUGUUAAGAAUGGGUUAACUAUCCGUUACACAACACCAUAUGUAUAAUCAAAAUUGAUCUAAAAAAAGCAGUUUGUCGGUAGCUGUUUCAAAUUUGAUCUCAAAAUUAGGAUUUACUGAUUGUCUUACAAUUUCCAACAUCAAAUAUGCUUAAAGAUCCACACUGUGAGAAAUAUGACGAGGAACAUUUCCUUGAGGAAUGAACAUGUCAUCAACAGUACAAAUAACCUUACUAGUAUAUAAAAAAUAUAUCUUUGAAAUCUUUUAGUAAGAGAUGAAAUUAUCUUAACCUACUUAGUUCAGAAAAUUAAUGUAUAUCGAUAAUGAGUAAUAUGGAUAAAAAUAAUGUUAGCAAUAUAUAAUUUAAAAAGUUAGGAAACAGUGGAGUUUGAAGAAACACAAAAUGACAAAUUGAAUUAGAAUGCAGUUCGCUACUUUUAGCUUACUAUUGCUUCUAUUCGGAUUUCAUCAGUAGUGCCAUUAUUAAUGUUGUCAAGAAAAUGAAAACAUAGCAUUGUCAUUUCAUUAUUUGAUAUAUCAUAUUUCUUUAUUUAUGUAUCGUACGUUGUAAUUGAUCUGCCCCUUCUGGGCGCGCGCUGUGAUUUGCAAAAUAGGUAUGCACAUAUUAUAUGUUUAUCUAUGAUUCAAAUAUAACAAAGUUAUAGUGUCAAACAAGAAUCUGAGUGUUCAUCGUUGUCAAUAAUUAUUUUGUAUUUGAAUUAAUUUCAGGAAUUGUAUCCCAAUGGUAUACUACAGCAAUAGUAUGAUUUGCGGAGGGUAUUACAAUUCAUUUGAGAAUCAAUUACUGUUUAUUACAAUUAAAUUAAUUAUAUAAAAAAAGAAAGUUCAGUUAUAAAUUUGGCACUGGCUACGGUAACAUGAAAAUGUAACAAUAAUAACAAUAUUAGUGUAACAUUGUAGACUAAUUGCCGGAAUACAGGG
rnacentral:lncRNA from 1 species